rnacentral:rRNA from 1 species
UUUGCCCUACGGGAGGCAGCAGUGGGGAAUAUUGCACAAUGGGGGAAACCCUGAUGCAGCAACGCCGCGUGAGUGAAGAAGUAUUUCGGUAUGUAAAGCUCUAUCAGCAGGGAAGAAGAUGACGGUACCUGAAUAAGAAGCCCCGGCUAACUACGUGCCAGCAGCCGCGGUAAUACGUAGGGGGCAACCGUUAUCCGGAUUUACUGGGUGUAAAGGGGGCGCAGACGGCAGUGCAAGUCUGGAGUGAAAGCCCGGGGCCCAACCCCGGA